GCGCGCCCGGCCCGCCGCGAGAGGGACUGUGAGGCGCGGAGGCGCUCGGGCGCCAUCUUGGCCGAGGCGGGCCGGGCCGGGCGGGCCACCAUCUUGCGGGCGGGACGGCUCCUGCGGCCUGGGCAGCGCCUCCCCUGCGGCGUACGCAGGCGGCGGGCUCGUUCUCUUUGUCCCUGCUCCACCGACAUGCGUAGCUGGCGUGUGUCAGCGCACCGUCAGACACUUAUCCCCGGGUGCUUCCUCGUGGGCCGCCUCCAAGCCAAGACAAAGCCCUGUGAGAGGAGCAGAAAAGAGAGCCGUUUCGCGGGCGCGUACGGCGGCUUUACGCCUGCGGGGUAACGGCAGCGCCUGAGGUGGCAGGAAAGCAGGCUGCCCAGGGAACUGCUGUGAGGCAAUUUGCAGUCAGAAGCCAUUGCAGAACAAUGCCAGCGGUUAGAAACUGAGUACAAUCUGUGGGCCUGCCCUAGCCAUAUAUGUUAACUUUGGAUCCAGUUUCUGAUCUGGCCAUCCUGGAAGGACUUUGUUAAGGGGCUGUUGGAUUCGUUCUCAUACUGAGCCUAAUAAUCUCUGCCAGACUCGUUAUUUCUCAGGACUGAAAUGACACCUCCCACUGGCAAAAUGGAAAGAAUCAACCAAAGGACUGAUCCCAUUACAGCAAAAAGCUCUAUGUCGAGAUCAAACAAUUUCAGAACUCCUUCACAAGCCAGAGUCCUCUAAUCCUUCCAAGACUUCCAGUCCACCCGGAGCACAAUGGAAGUUAUUAAUCACUGCACUGGCGUUACUGUUGGAC